UUCAUAGUCUCAAAGUAUCUUUCCCAAAAAUCCACAGUAGAGAUGCCUCUUGGUCACAUGAUCAAGGCCACCAUCACCAAAACACACAAAUUGAAAAACUGUACCAUUUGAUAAGAUGCCCUGAGACGGACAUGUCAUCUCUGCUUUCUAGUAACACAGAGUCUUGAUCUGAUCACUAGAAACCUCAGACAAACUCAACUAAAGUGUUGUUCUAUAAAAUGCCUCACCAAUAUUCUUCAAACGUGUCAAGGUCAUGAAAGUCAAGGAAAGACUGAGGAACUGUCACAAAUUGCAGGAGACUGAAGAGACAAGGUGACAAAAUGUAACAUGGAAUCUUGGAACAGAAAAAGGACAUUAGUGGAAAAAAAAACUGGUGAAACCAAAAUAAGUUCUGUACUUUACUGAAUAGCAUUACAUAAAGGUUAAUGUCUCAGUUUUGAAUGACUAUUCUAUGAUCAUAUAAGAUAUUGAUUGAAGAGAGAUAGGAUGAAGAAUACAUGGAAACUCUACUAUUUUUGAAGCUCUCCUUUAAGUCAAAAAUUAUUUCAAAAGAUUAAGAGAAAGUCCCACUGAUAACAAUAAUAAAAAAUGGUAGUGAUUAGUAAAUGAAUGGCAUCAUGCAGCAGACACUAAUUUCAUUUAAUGUUACCUAAUAGAAUUCAUUUGUUCCUUUUUAAGAAAAGUGUUUAUAAAGGAAAGUGAGAAAAAACACUGUUUAUUGAUUCAUUAUGCUUCUUAUACUUCACUGAUCUUCAAUGGACAUGGGCCAGCCCUCUCGACUUUCCCCAUACACAGCUCUACCGCCCAUUGCUCAUCCAUGCCCCUGGUUUCAAAUAGGGAGAAUCAGAACUCAGGCCAAAUCCCUUCCUUAUUAAUUAUUUCCAAAAGAGAGAGAAUCAGAACAUGAUCUAGUCUGCGGGGACUUUCCUGAUUCCUAAUUAUGACAGCAGCUGAGUUGAGGCUGCCUUCCAAGGAGAACCCACUAAUUCAGUCUGUGGUGGGCCCAGAUAGCAGAAGGUGAGGGAUCUGAUCUAGCUGGAUCCUAAAAUGAUGGAAGAAAGAGGAAGAUGUUUCCCCUUGAGCCCAGGAGACCAGCAAGGAGGCAGCUGCUCCAGGUCAUUGGCUGGUCUCCUGUCCUUGGCUCUCGGACAGGCAAUGGCAUUAAGUUUCUCACUCUAAGAACACUAGACCCUUGACAUCAAGGCCUUCUGAAGAGAUAAACAAGUGAAGUGAUAAGUUCCAUUCUCCUUGUUGUGCCCUUUUGUUCUCUCCUGAAAAGUCACAGAAGACCUUAAGAAGCAGCUGAUAAAGGAGCAAAGAGGUUUCUCAUCGUGUGAAUGCCUGGGCAUCCUCAAAUGUGAAUAUUGCUUCUGACACUAUUACAUGUUCCAUACUUCAAAGCAUUCACAUCUGUCUUCAGAUUGCAGCCCACUUACAGGUGAGGAAAUGGGCAGUUCAUGCACAUAACAUACCAUUUAUCAUCUGCCGCAUGCCAGGUCGUGUGCUAGGGGCUGACUAAUGCAUGUGGUGAACAGAGUAGACACUCUCUCUGGCCUCAUUGAUCCUAGUGGGUGCAGCAGAAGCUGAUGACAUACCUCUGCAUGUGGUUUUUACGAUUCACUUUUGUAGCCUUACAAACUUACAAACUCCCAUUUCCCCUCAAAGCGUGAUAACAGUUGGGCCUGGCCUAGACUUGGGGUUCGGGAAGGCCUGUCAGGGGAGACGAUGCUGCACAGAAGCAGGAAGAGUCCCAGAAGAGGGAAAGUGGGAAGGGCUAACAAAACCCAGGAUGCUGGAACAUAAAAAAUGGGUGAGUCACACAAGAGGAACCCCAAAAUAGCCCAAGCUGGAUGAUGCAGAGCUUCAAAAGUCACAGUAAGGAUUUGGAGUUUAGUGCUCGUGUCCUGGGAAGCUAGAGAAGGGCUUUUCAGGGACGAGAUAUGAGCUGAGAGAGAUGUUAAGUGGUGCCAGAGAAGAGUGGUGUGACAAAGAUGUGACACCCUGACAUCAUUCUUACCGAGGGUUCUUACCACAAAGCAGGGCAGGGAGGUGCUGGGGUGAGACCCCAGUCUCCUGGCAUUUAGUUCCAUGCUCUUUGACUUUUACUUCUCUGCCCAUGAGUUAAAGUGCUCACAAAAAUCCAGGCAAAACUUUUCAUUUAAACAUGUUGGAUUGCCAUGCAUUUGUUUUUCCCUGCCCCAGAAAUGUCUGUGCAGAAAUAAAAAUACAACAAAUUCACAGAGGAAAAAAAUAGAAGAUAAAACUUUUUUUAAAAGAGGAAAUAAAUAAUAAAAUAAAAAUGUUGAUAAUGAAAAAUGGAUGAGAGAAGAUAACUCGGUUGACAGAAUGGAGGAGGAGGAAACACAUGUGUCCACAAAAAGAAAAACAAAGUGGGAGGCGAAAGAAAAGCAAGCUGAUGUCCCACAACAGGCUCCUGGAAAUGCUCAAAAUUGAGGGUAGAUGUCUCCUUUUAAAAACAGCAGGACCACCUAAAAGUCUGUAUAAAGAAAAUUUCCAUCCCAAGUUGCCCUUUCUCCACUAAAUGGCAGGUGGAAGGUUCCUUCUCAGGAGAAAUUGAACCAGAGAGUCUCUUGGAGUGGCAGACGACAUAGAUGGGAGGAGGAGGUGCCCUCUGAAGCCUUCAGUCAGCAGAGGGAUGGCACUGCCCCUUCAGACUUUCUGAGACAUCAGAAGAGUUCUAUGUGAUUCACAUAGAGCAGAGUUCGGCGUUGCAGACAAAUCAAAGGCCUACCACAAAUUUGACUUAAUGAAUCACUUUGACUUUGUUACUGAGUUUACUCAUCUAUUGAACAAGAGGAGAACAGAUCUCUGACUGCUGAAGUAUAAAUACAAACAACGGAGUCAAAUUGGAAAUAGGAUAA
rnacentral:lncRNA from 1 species